rnacentral:lncRNA from 1 species
UGUGCCCUGAGCUCCGCAUGGCUGAGUGCUGCUGCCUUCUGUGCAUGCUGUGCUCUGUAACACCUCCAAGGGCACGGCUGUCACAGCGACCCUUUUUGUUUUGUGUAUUAUGUGCCACAAUGUUUCUUGAGUCUCCAGAGCUGAGGGACGUCCUAUGGGCUCCUGAGGCACCUUCUGUUGGAAGGCGUGCCCUGAUUCAGCCAGCAGCGAGGUAAGGAGUUGUAUUCAACUCCAGGAGCAAGAAAAGGUAAGAGCAGAUGUAUUUAUUCCCUUUUUAGUAGGGUAAGUUUAUUGCUUAUCUGAAAUAGGGAUAUCUUUAAGUUCCUGUCCCUACCUUUAAAGCCCUAAGGGUUGUGUGUGUGUCUUAUCACAAAAGGUUUUGCCAUGUCCUGUUGUUCCAAGGAAGCUGUAUUUCUAGGCUCAGGAGUCAGAGAAGUGGUUUCUGCCCUGCUUUUACCAGAGGUCCUCCUCCAACAGCCACGUCUCCAAACAGCAACCUGUCAGCUCCCUGGCGAGCACUCAAAGACUCCCAUGCAACUUCCCUGUCCUGGCCUUACUGAGCAGGAGGGGAGGAAGCGGUUGUUCUGAUGAUUGUUCUGCUAUCAUUGCUUUUAUUACUGUUGUGGAGGAACUCUGAGGUUCAGCUCAGGUUGUAGUCAUAUUUCUUAAAAAGCUCAAUUUCAUGAGAAUUAUUAUUCAGUAAUAUUCAAAACUGAUAAUGUAAUAUUUUUUUUUCAUUGCAGAUAGACAUGAACUUAAUCAGCAAGCAGAGCCUGCUCCUCCAGCAGCACGUACCUGAUCAAAUCCCUGCAAGUGAGGAUUUCCAGUGGCCUCAGUAGGAUCAGCCCAUGGAAAAUGAAUUGUGCCUUGCUUGGAUAGGGGCCCACAGGGCAGUGCUGUUCUGGCCCUGCGAGGGAUUCAGCGUGGAAGGAAUCAGUACUGCUAAAUAAGGACAAAAAGUAGAAAGCUAAUUUGUUUCUAAAUGAUGAUGGUAGCACAAAACAGAACGUGUCUCUGCAAGCUCAGUGAGUUUCUGUUCAUUAAGUGACUUCCAAAGACAGCUUACCCAUAUUCAGAUCCAAGAAUCAACAAUGAAAUUAUUUUCUAUCUACACCAGAAGUUGAUUUGUCAGUUAUGCAAUUUAAGUAUGAAACAGCCUUGUUUUAGGCAAAACUUCAACCACUUUGAGAGAAAGAGAAACGAGGAGGCUGAAUCUGUGAGGAACUGUUUUAUUGAAAUAUACAAAACAUGAUUUGGCAAACAUCCAUUUUUUUCUCAUUAAAUAAGAUAAAAUUACUGAAUGAAAAGGCAUUCCGUUAGUACAAACAAACAAGCAGACCUUUGUUUAUACACAGAUGAGGCAAAUAGAAGAUGCAAAUUUAUUUUACAGGUAAAAAGACUGAGAAGCAACAGCCUGUGAGAUACAGCAGAAGGAGUUCCAAUUAGCUGGGGAGUUAAAUGAAUGCCUUUGCAGAAGAAACUAUCAGGCACCAAGGUGCAAAUUCUAUGUCAGGCUGUUGUGUGUCACACACUGAAGUAGUAAAAAUGAAUGCAAGUUUCACCAGUAGAGCAAUUUCUUCCAGGUGACUGUUUCACAUCUCACACAAAAGUGAAAGAGCUGAGCAAAAUCUAAAAAGAAACAGCUUCAAGUGAGGUGAAAGCUUACUCUGACUUGCUGUCUAUGAUACAUAAGGCCACACGUCAUUUUGGGCUAAGCCCUCAUCGUCACUAUUGCAGAGCAGUGAUGAACAUCCAGGUCUAUGAUGUAUGAAGAAACAGCAUUUUAAUAUUGCAACUGUGACUCAGCGAGAUACUCAACUAAAGCUAAGCUUUUGUUUUUAAACACCACUUUAUUUGAGCUUUCAAAGAUACUUCACUACAAAGCAAGCAGCAGAUGCUAGAGCAUGAUUCAGAUGCAUUGUGCAUUGCUCCAGCAGACUACGUAUGAGACAUUAGCUUUAGUGUCUUUUUCCAUUCUUACUGAACUAGGAACACAGCAUUUACAGAACGAGUGCACGCUGAUCUCGCAGUCAUUGCUAGCGUAGGUGUUCCUGCAGGCCACCUCCUGUAUUCCCAGCUGAAUGUUUGCUUUUCUUUAAACCAUGUCAGGUGCCUUCAGAAAGAACUGCUCGAAGCUGUGGUUGUGAGGCGCCUCCCAAUGUAAAUCCUGAGGAUCAAGAACAUGGGGUCAGUAAGCAUUUGGUUUCAGCUCAGGAGGGACGUACAGCCUGUGAAAGAAAGUGUUUUUCAUUAUCAGAUUACAAGUUAUAUAAGGUACAGCCAGGGCAGCAGCACCAGCUGUAACAGAGUGCCCACCGCAGCACUCGGCCUUUGGUUGCUAUGAAGCUCGUGCAUACCCUUCUGUAACAAAUGCUUCCCAAACUCUGAGUAAUUCUCUGUGUAAGCUGCUCAGUUUCAGGAAUGCAGGAGUCAGAGAUAAGCACGGGGUCAUCAACAACAACGCAGCUCUUCAGGACCUUCCUGAAGUCAAACAUUCUGAUUACACUUUUUCUUCCAUCUGGUGUUUGUAAACCAUUGGUUUUACUGUCAUAUUCAUGGACUCGGUGUUUCUGUAGUCACCAUUUCAUACCUUGCUCUGCUUUUACAGCUGCCCUACAUUUUUUCCUAUUGAGAUUAAAGCUCAUACCUCCAAUGGAACUGAGAAGCACGUAUGUAUAAGUACAGUUCAUACUUAACUCUUCAUUUCACUGCUCUUUAAUUCUUUAGAAGAAUUCUCAACUAGUAAGAAAAGCAGAAAAGUUAACUGGGUGCAUUCAGCAGUACCACAGGCAAACAGAUAGGAAACCCUGAGCGAUCAACUGCCAUCCCUACGUGGUGAAGAGCAUAUUGCUCAUCUACAGACAAAGGGGGAACGGGGAGUCAGACCUGAGAAAACAGGUAAAGAAAAGAAGCCACUAAAAAAAAAAAAUGAACUUACCCGAGUCCAAUGGCAAGCAAAUGAGAGAGGAGCAGAGAUGGGAGGAAAACCUUCAAAAAUUCUGCUGAAAAUAUCCCCCCUUUCUUCAUGACGCUGGUGUUCCUCAUGCUGAGCGUAGCUGUGCGUCUGGGGUGUUUGAAAAGGAAUUCCCUAAUUUUGAGGAAGAAAAUGUGGUCAGAACGUUCAUAUACACAUCUGUACUUGUGGCAUUACCAGCUGGCUCAGCUCUUCCACAAGCUCCGAGGGCACUCACUUUGGGGGGAUGUUCUCCGGCCUGCUGGACCAAUCCCAUAUCCAGUCUGCAUUUUUCUUCAGGAGCCUUUCUACCUCUCUCCUCCUUUCAAGGAAGUCCUCUUCGGACUGGAACAGAGAGCCAUGAUCAGACAGAACACGUGGCUGUCAGAGGUAGGAAUCAGCCCUCUAAAGCAGAUCUGUUCUGCACCCAAGGCCGCACACGAGGCUGCACCUGCAGCUCGCUUCUCCCAUCUGUCCCUGCUGCAUACCUGCCCUAUCACCCCAAGCAUUCGGACCCUGGAUAAAUGUGGGCAGAGAGGGGAUGGCCUCAGAGCAGGACAUGAGUGACAAAGGGCCAUAUCUCACAUUCUUAUCUGUGUAAGUAAAGACUUCCCUGGAAACAAAAUGCCAGGCGCCCUGUAUUUCAUCCCAAUGUGGGAUGGGAAAGUAUCCCACGUUCACAAACAUAAAGACACUUGGCAGAAUGUACUUCUCAGGUCUGCCUGUGUUCAAAUCUGGCUGGACGUUACACCCACCUGCAGAACCUUAAUCCAGCUAACACACAUCAAGUGAAACCAAUUUAGUUUAGAAAAGCUACUUUGGGACAGUGUUGGCAAUAGGAUGGGUGAGCCCAGGUCUGUGUGCACAUAUCUGUGCAGCAGAAAACAACAAACAAACCAGCAGUCAAUUUCCUGCUGCUUACGUACACAGUGAACGAAGCAGAGCUCAUGCAAUAAGAGCAGUAUCUGAUUAUAGAAGUUAAACAGCUGCACAACACUGAACAAUGAAAUAAGAUUGUCCAGGCAACCAUUUCUGAUGGCUUUCUUGAGAUUAUUUGAUCUCAAAGUCUAAACAACCAUCUUCAAACAUAGGAACGGUUGUCUGGAAACAUAACAUAAGAACAAUUAAUUCACAGCAAUGUAUUUAAUUAACCUAAGGUGGGCAGUUCUUUCAGACAGAUUCCUGAAGGAGUGGUAGAGAUGGUGAGUUUGGGAUAGAGAGAGGGGCUAUGGGACCAAGCAUGUUUUAUGCCAUUUUGAGGACUGAUUAAAGCUACACUGAUAAAACCUGGGCUGUCAGUUCUGGACAAGAGGAGGCUGAGAGAUUCUGCUAUUCUGAGUGAUUCUACUAGGAUGAUCCUAAUAGUAAUUUGCUGAAGUCCCUACACAGAAGGUGAAGCUGCUGGUUUCCUACUGCUGGGUGUCAAACAGUGACAGGAACAGAUUUGUUCUCCAAAGCAAAAUGAGACUUUUACCUGAAAGCUAUUUUUUUCUCCACUGCUAUGGCUCUCUAUUUCCAGAGCUCUGUGACUGUCCAGAGGUGUCUGGGAACGAGGAGGGCUUGAACAAAGAGAAGAACAAGUGAGAAGGAGCUCAGUAAAUCCUUUACGACCUCAGUUUUGGGAGGGCUAAAAAGCUAACGAACAAAGCUUGUAUGCACAGCUGUCCUGAAGAGCUGCAGCACCCUGAUCAUAACCAAAGAGAUCCGUCUGUCACCGGGUGAUACAGUGCAGCCACCUCACCCAAGGUGGCCAAACAGUGCCGUGCCAAGAUGACUUUGAGCAGUGCAAAGGUACGGCAGUGAGGCUGGGCUGCUGGGCUCCCAUUGCUCACUAAAUAACAUUGGGCAGCAGGUGAUGGGUUUGGGGUUCAAUUCAAACAAGGCAGGUGAGACAGGGAGGUCCUGCAUCCUGCUGUCUGUUUUAAGUCCCUCAGUUCCUUUUGCUAAAUAGAC